rnacentral:rRNA from 1 species
GAUGAACGCUAGCGGCAGGCCUAACACAUGCAAGUCGAGGGGUAGAACACUUCGGUGUUUGAGACCGGCGCACGGGUGCGUAACGCGUAUGCAAUCUACCUUGUACAGAGGGAUAGCCCAGAGAAAUUUGGAUUAAUACCUCAUAGUGUUAUCGAAUGGCAUCGUUUGAUAACUAAAGUUCCAACGGUACAAGAUGAGCAUGCGUCCCAUUAGUUAGUUGGUAAGGUAACGGCUUACCAAGACAAUGAUGGGUAGGGGUCCUGAGAGGGAGAUCCCCCACACUGGUACUGAGACACGGACCAGACUCCUACGGGAGGCAGCAGUGAGGAAUAUUGGACAAUGGGCGGCAAGCCUGAUCCAGCCAUGCCGCGUGCAGGAUGACUGCCCUAUGGGUUGUAAACUGCUUUUAUAUGGGAAGAAACCUACUGGAUUCACUCCAGAGCUGACGGUAUCAUAUGAAUAAGCACCGGCUAACUCCGUGCCAG